UAGCAGUUGCGGCCUAGUUCGCGCAGACCGUCCGCAUUAGUUGACGGGCCUAUGUGAGUGGAUAGUGUGUGGAACAUUUAAGUUUAGCCGGUGGGGUAGCUGUGGAAUGCCGCCAUCCUAGCCUCACCGGUUGGCUUAU
rnacentral:sRNA from 16 species